rnacentral:rRNA from 1 species
UACGUAGGGGGCAAGCGUUGUCCGGAUUUAUUGGGCGUAAAGAGCGUGUAGGCGGCCAGACAAGUCUGCUGUGAAAACUCGAGGCUCAACCUCGAGCUGUCGGUGGAAACUGUCUGGCUAGAGUCCGGAAGAGGAGAGUGGAAUUCCUGGUGUAGCGGUGAAAUGCGCAGAUAUGUGGAGGAACACCGAUGGCGAAGGCAGCCCCCUGGGUCAAGACUGACGCUCAUGCACGAAAGCGUGGGGAGCAAACAGG